rnacentral:rRNA from 1 species
GAUGAACGCUGGCGGCGUGCCUAAUACAUGCAAGUCGAGCGAACAGACGAGGAGCUUGCUCCUCUGACGUUAGCGGCGGACGGGUGAGUAACACGUGGAUAACCUACCUAUAAGACUGGGAUAACUUCGGGAAACCGGAGCUAAUACCGGAUAAUAUAUUGCACCGCAUGGUUCAAUAGUGAAAUACGGUUUUUCUGGCACUUAUAGAUGGAUCCCCGCCGCAUUAGCUAGUUGGUAAGGUAACGGCUUACCAAGGCAACGAUGCGUAGCCGACCUGAGAGUGUGAUCGGCCACACUGGAACUGAGACACGGUCCAGACUCCUACGGGAGGCAGCAGUAGGGAAUCUUCCGCAAUGGGCGAAAGCCUGACGGAGCAACGCCGCGUGAGUGAUGAAGGUCUUCGGAUCGUAAAACUCUGUUAUUAGGGAAGAACAAAUGUGUAAGUAACUAUGCACGUCUUGACGGUACCUAAUCAGAAAGCCACGGCUAACUACGUG